AGCGAACGCUGGCGGCAGGCCUAACACAUGCAAGUCGAACGGAUCCUUCGGGAUUAGUGGCGGACGGGUGAGUAACACGUGGGAACGUGCCCUUUGGUUCGGAACAACUCAGGGAAACUUGAGCUAAUACCGGAUAUGCCCUUCGGGGGAAAGAUUUAUCGCCAUUGGAGCGGCCCGCGUCUGAUUAGCUAGUUGGUGAGGUAACGGCCCACCAAGGCGACGAUCAGUAGCUGGUCUGAGAGGAUGAUCAGCCACACUGGGACUGAGACACGGCCCAGACUCCUACGGGAGGCAGCAGUGGGGAAUCUUGCGCAAUGGGCGAAAGCCUGACGCAGCCAUGCCGCGUGAAUGAUGAAGGUCUUAGGAUUGUAAAAUUCUUUCAGCGGGGACGAUAAUGACGGUACCCGCAGAAGAAGCUCCGGCUAACUUCGUG
rnacentral:rRNA from 1 species